GACGAACGCUGGCGGCGUGCCUAAUACAUGCAAGUCGAGCGGACUUUCAAGAAGCUUGCUUUUUGAAAGUUAGCGGCGGACGGGUGAGUAACACGUGGGCAACCUGCCUGUAAGACGGGGAUAACUCCGGGAAACCGGGGCUAAUACCGGAUAAUAUCUUUCUUCGCCUGAAGGAAGGUUGAAAGGCGGCGCAAGCUGCCGCUUGCAGAUGGGCCCGCGGCGCAUUAGCUAGUUGGUGAGGUAACGGCUCACCAAGGCGACGAUGCGUAGCCGACCUGAGAGGGUGAUCGGCCACACUGGGACUGAGACACGGCCCAGACUCCUACGGGAGGCAGCAGUAGGGAAUCUUCCGCAAUGGACGAAAGUCUGACGGAGCAACGCCGCGUGAGCGAAGAAGGUCUUCGGAUCGUAAAGCUCUGUUGUCAGGGAAGAACAAGUACCGUUCGAAUAGGGCGGUACCUUGACGGUACCUGACCAGAAAGCCACGGCUAACUACGUGCCAGCAGCCGCUGUAA
rnacentral:rRNA from 1 species